AUGCAGGUACCCCACCGUGCCACGGCAGUGUGGGGGCCAGCGUACCCUCACACCCCCAGUGCAGCGCAGCCUGCACCUCCAGCCGGUCCAGCCCAGCGCCCCACAGACACUCCAACCAUCCACCCUGCUCCCCAGCAAGCAGGACAAGAUAGAGCUGCCGGGGCAGGACAUCCGCAGGGCUGGCCCCUGCCCCUCAGCCCCAGGCACCACUGGCCCACUGGAACACAGGUCAGCCCCAUCCCAGAGCCACCUUCUCCAGGUACACCGGCCCCACCCACCCCUCCUGCCCCGCAGGAUGGAUGCAGCAACCCGGCAGCCGGGCAGGACUGGCGGUCACCGGCUGAAUCCCAGUGCCCUGGCACCCCAGCAGGCGAGGAAGUAGCUCCCAGCAGCAGCAAUAAAUGGUGAUGCUCAGCAAA